rnacentral:lncRNA from 10 species
UGAGAAAGAUAGGGCAGGAGAGUGGGAUAUAUGGGUUCCUGAAUGAGGCAUUGCUUUUAUUUUAUUUUAUUUUAUUUUAUUUUAUUUUAUUUUAUUUUAUUUUAUUUUGUAUGUUGGUUGAGAAUUUUUGAAAUUGAAAGAUCAAAUCAUAAAGAAAUGAGUCUUAAAUAGGUUCUAGCCAUUUUGACAAAUGUUGUGGAAAGUAUUUGGGGAAAAAUAGUAUUCCUGAUAGAAAUUUUUGAGUUGCACGUGAAGACGAUAGAUUUUUUAAAGUCAAUAAUAAUAAUAAUAGUUACUACUUAGAGAGCCCUUACUAUGUGUCAGGUAGCUGGUCAUAUCUCCUUUAUAAGAAU